AUUGAACGCUGGCGGCAGGCCUAACACAUGCAAGUCGAUCGGAUGAGUGGAGCUUGCCCCAUGAUUCAGCGGCGGACGGGUGAGUAAUGCCUAGGAAUCUGCCUGGUAGUGGGGGACAACGUUUCGAAAGGAACGCUAAUACCGCAUACGUCCUACGGGAGAAAGUGGGGGAUCUUCGGACCUCACGCUAUCAGAGGAGCCUAGGUCGGAUUAGCUAGUUGGUGAGGUAAAGGCUCACCAAGGCGACGAUCCGUAACUGGUCUGAGAGGAUGAUCAGUCACACUGGAACUGAGACACGGUCCAGACUCCUACGGGAGGCAGCAGUGGGGAAUAUUGGACAAUGGGCGAAAGCCUGAUCCAGCCAUGCCGCGUGUGUGAAGAAGGUCUUCGGAUUGUAAAGCACUUUAAGUUGGGAGGAAGGGCAGUAAGUUAAUACCUUGCUGUUUUGACGUUACCAACAGAACAAGCACCGGCUAACUUCGUGCCAGCAGCCGCCGUAAGAC
rnacentral:rRNA from 1 species